rnacentral:rRNA from 1 species
UACGUAGGGACCGAGCGUUAUCCGGAUUCAUUGGGCGUAAAGAGCUCGUAGGCGGCUAUUCAAGUCGAACGUGAAAUCUCGGGGCUCAACUCCGAGCCUGCGUUCGAUACUGGGUAGCUAGAGUCUGGUAGGGGGAUCUGGAAUUCCUGGUGUAGCGGUGGAAUGCGCAGAUAUCAGGAGGAACACCGAUGGCGAAGGCAGCUCGCUGGGACGGUACUGACGCUGAGGCGCGAAAGCGUGGGGAGCGAACAGG